AUGCACAACGAAAGCAAACUAAAUAUGCAGAUACAUGGAAUCAAGAUUAAGUCUAACAUUCACCCCCUAAUCUUGAUUCUCCUAUCAUCAACGCAGAUCACCCACAACCACUUGCCAAGACUUUGCAGCGCCAAGACCACACCACCUUGCCUCACGCUGCAGCUUCACCAUGCUGCACCAUCGAUCUCCACUUGCAUGUUCUUCAGCGGCAUCACACCACUGGUCACGUACAUCUCGCCGCCGUCGUCGCAGCAGCUCACCUUGGGGAUGGCGUCACACCACCCAAAACACCACCGUCAGCUAGCUUCACAUCUAUCCUCAUGA
rnacentral:rRNA from 1 species